rnacentral:SRP_RNA from 1 species
AUUGGGGCGUUAGCGGUGCCUUGUAACCCUCAAUCCGCUACAGAGGGAAUGAAAACUUGCCGUGAGGGAUUGCGAUGUUCGGUCUGUCCCUGUAUAAGUGAUGUUGACGGUUUGGUCUUACGCAAUUAAAACCUGUGAACCUCGUCAGGGCGGGAACGCAGCAGCGAUAAGCAGUAAUUUUGAUGUGCCGUAAGGAAGCCAGACUCGAGUUAACUGUAUGGGUAACGCG